UACAGAGGGGGCAAGCGUUGUUCGGAAUUACUGGGCGUAAAGGGCGCGUAGGCGGCCUGUUAAGUCGAACGUGAAAUCCCCGGGCUCAACCCGGGAACUGCGUCCGAUACUGGCAGGCUCGAAUCCGGGAGAGGGAUGCGGAAUUCCAGGUGUAGCGGUGAAAUGCGUAGAUAUCUGGAGGAACACCGGUGGCGAAGGCGGCAUCCUGGACCGGCAUUGACGCUGAGGCGCGAAAGCCAGGGGAGCAAACGGGG
rnacentral:rRNA from 1 species